GUCUAUGGCCAUGCUACCCUGAACACGCCCGAUCUCGUCUGAUCUCGGAAGCUAAGCAGGGUCAGGCCUGGUUAGUACUUGGAUGGGAGACAGCCUGGGAACACCGGGUGCUGUAGGCU
rnacentral:rRNA from 1 species